rnacentral:rRNA from 1 species
UACGAAGGGGGCUAGCGUUGUCCGGAAUCAUUGGGCGUAAAGCGCGCGUAGGCGGCCCGGUCAGUCCGCUGUAAAAGUCCAGGGCUCAACCCUGGAAAGCCGGUGGAUACUGUCGGGCUAGAGUCCGGAAGAGGCGAGUGGAAUUCCUGGUGUAGCGGUGGAAUGCGCAGAUAUCAGGAGGAACACCGAUAGCGAAGGCAGCUCGCUGGGACGGUACUGACGCUGAGGUGCGAAAGCGUGGGGAGCGAACAGG